GAUGAACGCUGGCGGCGUGCCUAAUACAUGCCAGUCGAGCGAACGGACGAGAAGCUUGCUUCUCUGAUGUUAGCGGCGGACGGGUGAGUAACACGUGGAUAACCUACCUAUAAGACUGGGAUAACUUCGGGAAACCGGAGCUAAUACCGGAUAAUAUUUUGAACCGCAUGGUUCAAAAGUGAAAGACGGUCUUGCUGUCACUUAUAGAUGGAUCCGCGCUGCAUUAGCUAGUUGGUAAGGUAACGGCUUACCAAGGCAACGAUGCAUAGCCGACCUGAGAGGGUGAUCGGCCACACUGGAACUGAGACACGGUCCAGACUCCUACGGGAGGCAGCAGUAGGGAAUCUUCCGCAAUGGGCGAAAGCCUGACGGAGCAACGCCGCGUGAGUGAUGAAGGUCUUCGUAUCGUAAAACUCUGUUAUUAGGGAAGAACAUAUGUGUAAGUAACUGUGCACAUCUUGACGGUACCUAAUCAGAAAGCCACGGCUAACUACGUG
rnacentral:rRNA from 1 species